CGCCUGUUUAUCAAAAACAUAACUAUAUGCCAUUAUGUAUAGCGACUUCUGCUCAAUGGUAAACUAAAUAGCCGCAGUACUCUGACUGUGCAAAGGUAGCAUAAUCAUUUGGCUUAUAAUUGAGGUCUAGUAUGAAUGAAAAAGUGGGUAGUAACUGUCUUAUAUAUAUUUUUUUAACUUUAAUAAGCAAGUGAAAAUACUUGCACAUGUAUAAAAGACGAGAAGACCCUAGAAACUUAUUAAGUUUUUGUUGGGGCGACAGGAUUACAAUUAACUAAUCUUAUUUUACAAGACGCAUAGCAGAUAGAUUAAGUUACUCUAGGGAUAACAGCAUAAUUAUAACAGUUUGUGACCUCGAUGUUGGACUAGGUACAGAACUCCUCAGAAGGGAGUUAAUAAGCUCUGUUCGAGCGUGCGGUAACCUACGUGAUCUGAGU
rnacentral:rRNA from 1 species